rnacentral:lncRNA from 1 species
GUCAUUGCCUUUCAAGAUGAGGCAGAGAUCCUUGUCUUGCAAUGCCCAGUGUGCUAAGCUUUCUCACUUCCAGCAGUGGGGAAGGGUCAGAGAUUGUGUUGUUGUAUGCAUCCUCGGUGGCAUUAUUAACUGGAGCUUUUCAAACAGACGAAGUAUGUUACUGUGGCUAAAUUGUAAUGAAAGAAGAGAUGGCUGUUUGCCAAUAAAUGAUGCCAUAUGCAACAAAGUGCAGAGAUGGACUAUAGGCUUCCAGCGAGUUACCACUGCCAAGGAGGAUGCAAAGACAGGCAGUUUCCUGGAUACUGAGCUUAUUCUUGUGUGGAAAGUGCAGUAA